rnacentral:rRNA from 1 species
AUUGAACGCUGGCGGCAGGCUUAACACAUGCAAGUCGAGCGGGGUGAUGGUGCUUGCACUAUCACUUAGCGGCGGACGGGUGAGUAAUGCUUAGGAAUCUGCCUAUUAGUGGGAGACAACAUCUCGAAAGGGAUGCUAAUACCGCAUACGUCCUACGGGAGAAAGCAGGGGAUCGCUUGUGACCUUGCGCUAAUAGAUGAGCCUAAGUCGGAUUAGCUAGUUGGUGGGGUAAAGGCCUACCAAGGCGACGAUCUGUAGCGGGUCUGAGAGGAUGAUCCGCCACACUGGGACUGAGACACGGCCCAUACUCCUACGGGAGGCAGCAGUGGGGAAUAUUGGACAAUGGGGGGAACCCUGAUCCAGCCGUGCCGCAUGUGUGAAGAAGGCCUUAUGGUUGUAAAGCACUUUAAGCGAGGAGGAGGCUCUUUUGGUUAAUACCCAAGAUGAGUGGACGUUACUCGCAGAAUAAGCACCGGCUAACUCUGUGCCAGCCGCCGCCGUAA